GCUCUCAUAGCUCAGACGGCAGAGCGCGUCCUUGGUAAGGACGAGGUCACCAGUUCGAAUCUGGUUGAGAGCUCCA
rnacentral:tRNA from 1 species